UACGUAGGGGGGCAAGCGUUGUCCGGAAUCAUUGGGCGUAAAGAGCUCGUAGGCGGUUUGUUGCGUCGGCUGUGAAAUCCCGAGGCUCAACCUCGGGUCUGCAGUCGAUACGAGCAAACUAGAGUGUUGCAGGGGAGACUGGAAUUCCUGGUGUAGCGGUGAAAUGCGCAGAUAUCAGGAGGAACACCGGUGGCGAAGGCGGGUC
rnacentral:rRNA from 1 species